UACAGAGGGGGCAAGCGUUGCUCGGAAUUACUGGGCGUAAAGGGCGCGUAGGCGGCCUGUUAAGUCGAACGUGAAAUCCCCGGGCUCAACCCGGGAACUGCGUCCGAUACUGGCAGGCUUGAAUCCGGGAGAGGGAUGCGGAAUUCCAGGUGUAGCGGUGAAAUGCGUAGAUAUCAGGAGGAACACCGGUGGCGAAGGCGGGUCUCUGGGCCGUAACUGACGCUGAGGAGCGAAAGCAUGGGGAGCGAACAGG
rnacentral:rRNA from 1 species